AACGACGCUGGCGGCAUGCCUAACACAUGCAAGUCGAACGAUGCCUUCGGGCAUAGUGGCGCACGGGUGCGUAACGCGUGGGAAUCUGCCCUUGGGUUCGGAAUAACUCAGAGAAAUUUGAGCUAAUACCGGAUGAUGACGUAAGUCCAAAGAUUUAUCGCCCAAGGAUGAGCCCGCGUAAGAUUAGCUAGUUGGUGGGGUAAAGGCCUACCAAGGCGACGAUCUUUAGCUGGUCUGAGAGGAUGAUCAGCCACACUGGGACUGAGACACGGCCCAGACUCCUACGGGAGGCAGCAGUGGGGAAUAUUGGACAAUGGGCGAAAGCCUGAUCCAGCAAUGCCGCGUGAGUGAUGAAGGCCUUAGGGUUGUAAAGCUCUUUUACCAGGGAUGAUAAUGACAGUACCUGGAGAAUAAGCUCCGGCUAACUCCGUG
rnacentral:rRNA from 1 species